rnacentral:ribozyme from 1 species
UGCCCAGCAACUUCUAUCCCUAUCUCCUCGCGGUACUGGCCGGUGUACGAGCAACUUUAGGGAAGA